UGGACAACUGAAUCCAUUGCUUAGCAUG
rnacentral:piRNA from 1 species